GACGAACGCUGGCGGCGUGCUUAAUACAUGCAAGUCGAACGCUAAAGCGCGGCGUUUACUCUUCUCGGAUGAGUCGCGAACGGGUGAGUCACGCGUAUGUAACCUGCCUUGUAGCGGGAUAUAACUAUUGGAAACGAUAUCUAACACCGCAUAACAAUGGGUUACAUGGUGCGGUUAGUUGAGAUGGGCAAUUUCUGGACGACAACACGGACCUUCGUUGUGUUAGUUAGUAGGUGAGGUACUGGCUCACCUAGGCGACGAUACAUAGCCGACCUGACAGGGUGGUCGGCCACACUGGGAAUGAGACACGGCCCAGACUCAUGAGGGAGGCAGCAGUAGGGAAUCUUCGGCAAUGGGGGCAACACUGACCGAGAAACGCCGCGGGAGUGAAGAAGGUUGUCGGAUCGGAAAGCUCUGUUGUAAGUCAAGAACGGGUGUGAGAGUGGAAAGUUCACACUGUGACGGUAGCUUAACAGAAAGGGACGGCUAACUACGUG
rnacentral:rRNA from 1 species